rnacentral:rRNA from 1 species
UGAGAGGGUGAUCGGUCACACUGAGACUGAGACACGGCCCAGACUCCUACGAGAGGCAGCAGUAGGGAAUCUUCCGCAAUGGACGAAAGUCUGACGGAGCAACGCCGCGUGAGUGAUGAAGGUCUUCGGAUCGUAAAACUCUGUUGUUAGGGAAGAACAAGUGCCAUUCGAAUAGGUUGGCACCUUGACGGUACCUAACCAGAAAGCCCCGGCUAACUACGUGCCAGCAGCCGCGGUAAUACGUAGGGGGCAAGCGUUGUCCGGAAUUAUUGGGCGUAAAGCGCGCGCAGGCGGUCCUUUAAGUCUGAUGUGAAAGCCCACGGCUUAACCGUGGAGGGCCAUUGGAAACUGGAGGACUUGAGUACAGAAGAGGAGAGUGGAAUUCCACGUGUAGCGGUGAAAUGCGUAGAGAUGUGGAGGAACACCAGUGGCGAAGGCGACUCUCUGGUCUGUAACUGACGCUGAGGUGCGAAAGCGUGGGUAGCGAACAGGAUUAGAUACCCUGGUAGUCCACGCCGUAAACGAUGAGUGCUAGGUGUUAGGGGGUUCCGCCCCUUAGUGCUGAAGUAACGC